rnacentral:tRNA from 1 species
GCCAAACUGGUCUAGUGGUUAAGACACCAGACUAGAAGGUGGGAGACCGUGAGUUCUAGUCCCAUCUUAGGCC